AUGUGCUUCGGUGCUGCUGCCACUGCCAUCUCCAUCGAAGCGGGUGCUGUUCUUCGAGGCCGCCGUGCCGCCUUCUUGUUGCUGUGUCAGUGUGCCUUCUUCUCCAGUGCCGGCGAGGUCGACCUGCACCUGGAUGACAACCUCCUCUGGUCUCAGGGGCUGAUCAAUCAAUGGAGCUUGUUUGCCGAUGGUGGCGGUGAUGGCUGCCCUGCAGAGCGGGCAGUUGGCGCAGCCCUGGAGCCAAGUGCCGAUGCACUCCGCGUGGAAGACAUGGAGGCAGCCCGGCAGGAGCCUCACACUCUCCCCCUCCUGGAACUCGCCGAGGCACACGGCGCACUCGCUCGCGUCGGCGCUGUUCUUGGCGGCCUUGCUGUAUCUGAACUCCGGCAGCGCCCGGAUGGCAGGCUCCCCGAGCCCGCCACGACCCUCGUCAGGAGCCGGCCCGUGCACCACGGGAAGCUCAUGGUCGUAGGCGGCGCUGCUGCGACUGCGACGGCGGCGGGAGAGAGAAAUUAUGAACUUCUGGGCGCGCCGGAGUCGGGAGAGGAGGCGUGCCAGGUGAGGCAGCAGCGGAUGACCAAGACGUAG
rnacentral:rRNA from 1 species